rnacentral:misc_RNA from 1 species
UUUCCGUAGGUGAACCUGCGGAAGGAUCAUUCAUAAUAAGUGUUUUACUGCACUUUUUAAAAAUAGUACUCACCUUGUGUGCAAUGUUGUGUUUCUUUUCGGAGAAACACCUACACCAACCUAUAACCUUGAACCACUUUGUCUGAAAAACUAUUAUGAAUACUUAAUUCAAAAAACAACUUUCAACAACGGAUCUCUUGGCUCUC